rnacentral:rRNA from 1 species
UACGGGGGGAGCAAGCGUUGUUCGGAUUUACUGGGCGUAAAGGGCGCGUAGGCGGCGCCGCAAGUCGACUGUGAAAUCUCCGGGCUUAACCCGGAAAGGUCAGCCGAUACUGCGGGGCUAGAGUGCAGAAGGGGCAACUGGAAUUCUCGGUGUAGCGGUGAAAUGCGUAGAUAUCGAGAGGAACACCUGCGGCGAAGGCGGGUUGCUGGGCUGACACUGACGCUGAUGCGCGAAGCUAGGGGAGCGAACAGG